rnacentral:rRNA from 1 species
GAUGAACGCUGGCGGCGUGCCUAAUACAUGCAAGUCGAGCGAACAGACGCGAAGCUUGCUUUUCUGAUGUUAGCGGCGGACGGGUGAGUAACACGUGGAUACCCCACCUAUAAGACUGGGAUAACUUCGGGAAACCGGAGCUAAUACCGGAUAAUAUUUUGAUCCGCAUGGUUGAAAAGUGAAAGACGGUCUUGCUGUCACUUAUAGAUGGAUCCGCGCUGCAUUAGCUGGUUGGUAAGUUAACGGCUUACCAAGGCAACGAUGCGUAGCCGACCUGUGAGGGGGAUCGGCGACAUGGGAGCGUGGACAGGGUCCAGAGGACUACGGUAGGCAGCAGUAGGCAACCUGCCGCAAUGGGGGGAAGCCUGACGGAGUAACGCGGAGUCAGUGAUGACGGUCUUCGGAUCGUAAAACUCUGUUACUAGUGAAGAACAUAUGUGUAAGUAACUGUGGAGAUCGUGACGGUAACUAAUCAGAAAGCCACGGCUAACUACGUG